rnacentral:rRNA from 1 species
ACGGGUGAGUAAUACAUCGGAACGUGCCCAAUCGUGGGGGAUAACGCAGCGAAAGCUGUGCUAAUACCGCAUACGAUCUACGGAUGAAAGCAGGGGAUCGCAAGACCUUGCGCGAAUGGAGCGGCCGAUGGCAGAUUAGGUAGUUGGUGAGGUAAAGGCUCACCAAGCCUUCGAUCUGUAGCUGGUCUGAGAGGACGACCAGCCACACUGGGACUGAGACACGGCCCAGACUCCUACGGGAGGCAGCAGUGGGGAAUUUUGGACAAUGGGCGAAAGCCUGAUCCAGCCAUGCCGCGUGCAGGAUGAAGGCCUUCGGGUUGUAAACUGCUUUUGUACGGAACGAAACGGUCUUUUCUAAUAAAGAAGGCUAAUGACGGUACCGUAAGAAUAAGCACCGGCUAACUACGUGCCAGCAGCCGCGGUAAUACGUAGGGUGCAAGCGUUAAUCGGAAUUACUGGGCGUAAAGCGUGCGCAGGCGGUGAUGUAAGACAGUUGUGAAAUCCCCGGGCUCAACCUGGGAACUGCAUCUGUGACUGCAUCGCUGGAGUACGGCAGAGGGGGAUGGAAUUCCGCGUGUA